UCGAGGAUCUUCGGCAAUGGGCGAAAGCCUGACCGAGCGACGCCGCGUGUGGGAUGAAGGCCUUCGGGUUGUAAACCACUGUCAACGGGGAGGAAAUGCAGGAGGGUACUCCCUCCUGUUUGACCUAUCUGUGGAGGAAGUACGGGCUAAGUUCGUGCCAGCAGCCGCGGUAAGACGAACCGUACAAACGUUAUUCGGAAUCACUGGGCUUAAAGGGUGCGUAGGCAGCGCGGUAAGUUGGGGGUGAAA
rnacentral:rRNA from 1 species